GGGUGACGGCGUGCCUUUUGAAGAAUGAGCCUGCGAGUUAGUGGCAUGUGGCGAGGUUAACCCGGGUGGGGGAGCCGUAGCGAAAGCGAGUCUGAAUAGGGCGUCAGAGUCGCGUGUCCUAGACCCGAAGCGGAGUGAUCUAGCCAUGGGCAGGCUGAAGCGUGGGUAAGACUGCGUGGAGGGCCGAACCCACCAACGUUGAAAAGUUGGGGGAUGACCUGUGGUUAGGGGUGAAAGGCCAAUCAAACUCCGUGAUAGCUGGUUCUCCCCGAAAUGCAUUUAGGUGCAGCGUCGUGUGUUUCUUGCCGGAGGUAGAGCACUGGAUGGUCUAGGGGGCCUACAAGCUUACCGAAAUCAGCCAAACUCCGAAUGCCGGUAAGUGAGAGCGCGGCAGUGAGACUGCGGGGGAUAAGCUUCGUAGUCGAGAGGGAAACAGCCCAGAUCACCAGCUAAGGCCCCUAAGCGUGUGCUAAGUGGAAAAGGAUGUGGGGUCGCAUAGACAACCAGGAGGUUGGCUUAGAAGCAGCCAUCCUUGAAAGAGUGCGUAAUAGCUCACUGGUCAAGUGGUUCCGCGCCGACAAUGUAGCGGGGCUCAAGCACACCGCCGAAGCUGUGGCAUUCACGCGUGUACUUCGCAUGGCCUUUGGGUUGUGUGUAGGUGUGUGGAUGGGUAGGGGAGCGUCGUGCCGGGGGUGAAGCAGCCGAGUGAUCGAGUUGUGGACACGGUGCGAGUGAGAAUGCAGGCAUGAGUAGCGAAAGAAGGGUGAGAAACCCUUCCGCCGGAUGACCAAGGGUUCCAGGGCCAGGUUAAUCCGCCCUGGGUGAGUCGGGGCCUAAGGCGAGGCCGAGAGGCGUAGUCGAUGGAUAACGGGUUGAUAUUCCCGUACCCGCGAAGGAGCGUCCCUGAUGAACCUCGUUGUGCUAACCAUCCGAGCUUGGUGUGGUCUUCGGACUGUGCUGGGGGAGCGUGGGAACCUGGCGGGUAGUAGUCAAGCGAUGGGGUGACGCAGGAAGGUAGCUGAGCCCGGCCGGUGGUUGUGCCGGGGUAAGCGUGUAGGCUGUGUCGUAGGUAAAUCCGCGGCGCGUGUGGCUGAGACGUGAUGCCGAGCCGAUUCAGGUGAAGUCAGUGAUCCUAUGCUGUCGAGAAAAGCCUCUAGCGAGUUCCGAGCGGCCCGUACCCUAAACCGACACAGGUGGUCAGGUAGAGAAUACCAAGGCGAUCGGGUGAACUGUGGUUAAGGAACUCGGCAAAUUGCCCCCGUAACUUUGGGAGAAGGGGGGCCGGAGACGUGAAGGCACGUGCUGCUGGAGCGUUGUAUGGCCGCAGAGAGCAGGGGGAAGCGACUGUUUACUAAAAACACAGGUCCAUGCGAAGAAGUAAUUCGAUGUAUAUGGACUGACGCCUGCCCGGUGCUGGAACGUUAAGGGGACCUGUUAGUCUUUCGGGGCGAAGCGGAGAACUUAAGCGCCAGUAAACGGCGGUGGUAACUAUAACCAUCCUAAGGUAGCGAAAUUCCUUGUCGGGUAAGUUCCGACCUGCACGAAUGGCGUAACGACUUCCCCACUGUCUCAACCACAGGCCCGGCGAAAUUGCAUUACGAGUAAAGAUGCUCGUUACGCGCGGCAGGACGGAAAGACCCCGGGACCUUUACUAUAGCUUGACAUUGGUAUCUGAAUUAGCUUGUGUAGGAUAGGUGGGAGCCGGUGAAGUGUGCACGCCAGUGCAUGUGGAGGCAAUCUUGAAAUACCACUCUGGUUGGUUUGGGUAUCUAACUUCGGACCGUUAUCCGGUUCAGGGACAGUGUCUGGUGGGUAGUUUAACUGGGGCGGUUGCCUCCUAAAGGGUAACGGAGGCGCCCAAAGGUUCCCUCAGCCUGGUUGGCAAUCAGGUGUUGAGUGUAAGUGCACAAGGGAGCUUGACUGUGAGACUGACGGGUCGAGCAGGGACGAAAGUCGGGACUAGUGAUCCGGCACUGGCGAAUGGAAGCGGUGUCGCUCAACGGAUAAAAGGUACCCCGGGGAUAACAGGCUGAUCUUCCCCAAGAGUCCAUAUCGACGGGAUGGUUUGGCACCUCGAUGUCGGCUCGUCGCAUCCUGGGGCUGUAGCAGGUCCCAAGGGUUGGGCUGUUCGCCCAUUAAAGCGGUACGCGAGCUGGGUUUAGAACGUCGUGAGACAGUUCGGUCCCUAUCCGCCGUGCGCGUAGGAUACUUGAGAAGGGCUGUCCCUAGUACGAGAGGACCGGGACGGACGAACCUCUGGUGUGCCAGUUGUCCCGCCAGGGGCACGGCUGGUUAGCUACGUUCGGAAGGGAUAACCGCUGAAAGCAUCUAAGCGGGAAGCCUGCUUCAAGAUGAGGUAUCCCAUCCACCUUUGG
rnacentral:rRNA from 1 species